AUACGGAGGGUGCGAGCGUUAAUCGGAAUUACUGGGCGUAAAGCGCGCGUAGGCGGUUUGUUAAGUCGGAUGUGAAAUCCCCGGGCUCAACCUGGGACCUGCAUCCGAUACUGGCAGGCUAGAGUCUGGUAGAGGGGGGUAGAAUUCCUGGUGUAGCGGUGAAAUGCGUAGAUAUCAGGAGGAAUACCAGUGGCGAAGGCGGCCCCCUGGACUGAGACUGACGCUGAGGUGCGAAAGCGUGGGGAGCAAACAGGAUUAGAAACCCCUGUAGUCC
rnacentral:rRNA from 1 species